CAGAGAUUAGAGCAACUGUAAACCAAGGAGCGCUCAGGAUGGCCAGCCACCUCUAGAAGUUAGGAAGAGGCAAAAAAGGAUCUACCCAGAGUUUUAGAGGAAGCAAGGCCCUGCUAACACCUUGGUUUUGGACUUGAAGCCUCCAGAACUGUGCUUCAGAAUGGACAUGAAGGUGAGUCUGUCACCAGCAGAUUGUGAAGGGGGUCCGUGUUCUGAACACAUUUCAUUACUGUGAUUCGUGAUUUGCUUAAGUCCCCCGACAAAAACAGGAUCUGAACGUUGCUGCUAAAGAGGCUCCCUAUAAUUUCCCAAACAGUAGCACUUGUCAGACUCUGAGGGUCCGCUGAUGGCAACAUUGUAUGUCCCAGGCUUCUGCUUGGCACACUUCACAGAGGUGGCAUGGUUUUAGCAGGUGGAUCCGCAGAGAAGCGUCUGUGGUUACCAUUAGGCUAGAAGAGAAGUUCGUGUGCUGGGACUUUACGGUAACCGGCUAACCAGAAAGAGCUCCUGCCAGCCCAAGUACUGCCUCCUCGGAUCAAUUGGGAUUCUCCUUCACACAGCCUACCCCUGCUCAGAUGGAAAACCCAGCUGGGAGGCACAGAGAGAGCUGCAGACGGGAAGCAGACCCCCUAAAGGCAGCCCAAUAGCUGAUGCGAAGUGAGGGGGAGACGCAGAAGAGUACUUCCUCCUGCUGAUGUCAUUUGCCAUUCAUGGAGACCGAUGAGACAGGCAUUGCCACUAUCCCCAUUUCACAGGAAACCCAAGGCCCAGAGAUGUCAAGUAAAUUGCCAGGAUCGAACAGCUGGCAAGUGACAGAACAAAGAUUCUAGCUCAGGAAGUCUGACUCCGUUCUUAACUCCCAGUAACCACUAUAUUAUGUUGUGUUCCCUUUACUUGGCAAAUCUUCAUUUGCAGAAUUUGGAAUAAAUCGCAAAUAUUUACUUGAAUAUGAUGCAUCAGAUGCAUCAUUUGAACGUUUCUUUUUAAUCAAAUAAAGUGUCCUUGCCUGUAAGAAAACUCCCAUAAUACAGUAUCUUAGAGAGUGCACAACAGAUGACUAGUUAAAAAACACCCCUGAGACCGGGGCACCUGGGUGACUCAGUCUAUCGAGCU